rnacentral:rRNA from 1 species
UCGGGAAUAUUGCGCAAUGGAGGAAACUCUGACGCAGUGACGCCGCGUAUAGGAAGAAGGUUUUCGGAUUGUAAACUAUUGUCGUUAGGGAAGAUAAAAGACUGUACCUAAGGAGGAAGCCCCGGCUAACUAUGUGCCAGCAGCCGCGGUAAUACAUAGGGGGGCAAGCGUUAUCCGGAAUUAUUGGGUGUAAAGGGUGCGUAGACGGAAGAACAAGUUGGUUGUGAAAUCCCUCGGCUCAACUGAGGAACUGCAACCAAAACUAUUCUCCUUGAGUGUCGGAGAGGAAAGUGGAAUUCCUAGUGUAGCGGUGAAAUGCGUAGAUAUUAGGAGGAACACCAGUGGCGAAGGCGACUUUCUGGACGAUAACUGACGUUGAGGCACGAAAGUGUGGGGAGCAAACAGGAUUAGAUACCC